UCCAAUUAUUCCCAAAAGCUUAGAAAUUGUGUUUAGUUUAUAAAACUGGGCUAUUGUGCAAAUUGGAUGUGAGAAGUUUGACAUUUUGGUUAAGAGAAGGCGAGAAGGUUAGUUUUCAAAUGAAUUUGAGCAAGGUGCACUCCUAGUAGGCUAUAGAGCCCAUCCUUUGAAAUUUGAAGCUAAAAUGUUGAGGUAGUUUGGGUGGUUGGCCGAGCAUGGGGAGUUGCUAGGUGAGACGGUUAAGCAUUUUUGGUUGAAAAAGGUUAGUGAUGGGCUGAUGGGCUUGUUGAACACACAGCUCGUGUGCAAAGUAAGCCACACAUAAGUCUGCGCACGCGAGAACGGCUAUACGAGAUGCAAGGCGCAUGACAUAUCCCUCUUGUGAGGUUAGCACACGACAAGGCUUACACAGGCCAUGCGCGUGCGUGCCAGCCUCUAUCGCUCAUCCUUACACACCAGCCAUGCUAAAUAUGUGUUUUAGGGUUUUUUUUGUAUUUUUAGGAAUUUUAAGUAGAAUUUUGAUAUUUUUAUUAUUAAAGGGAAUUAAAUGGAAAUAUUUCCUGUUAUUUUAGGACAAGGAGAUUGUGAAGGAAACAUCCGACUAAAGACUAAUUGAACUAUUGUGAGUGACAAAAUGAGCUUAAAGUUGAUUUCUAAGAAUGAUUUAUUAUUAAGUGUUUAAAACAUACUUUGAUAUAUGAAUAUUUGAGUAUACUGAUUUAGAAA